UGACUUUUGCUAUAAGCGUUCUUUUGGAACACAAGCAAACAGAACAAUAAAAGCAUUAAAAACAAAAGAACUACAGCAAAAGCAUUAAAAAAGGAAACAAAGUAAAUCCAAGAACAAAAGAAAUAAAAGUCAAAACAAGAAAUAAAAUAGAAUAAAUUAGACUUAACAAACUAAACUCAAAUCAAAAAAUUAAUUACGAAAAGAGUGAGCGAAUUGAGAUUUCUAAAUCAAUUUGAAGCCAUAGUGUUGUCUUGGAUCUGUUGUCCAAGAAACAAAGAAAUUCAGUGAUCCAUCAGCUCCACCACUGCACGUCGCCAUCACCCCCACACAAACAUUCUACAAUCUCUAAUGAAAAUCAAUUAAUUUUAAAUAAAAAUUCAGACUCAUUUUUCUCAGAUCUAAUGUAUUCAAGAGAGAGACAAGUGAGUGUUUGUUUUCCCUUUGCAAAGCAAAACCAUCAUUCACUGACAAAAAAUGACUAUUCCAUUUUCACCUCCCUCCACUAUAAAAAGGUGCUUUCGAAGGUGUUUUCGGUCGACCAUGGAUUCGCCAUCGUCGUCUUUAUAUCUAGCUAUGGCCGCUCUUUAUUAGAGUUUCAUUAAUGGAAAUCUCUGCCUUAUAUUCACAAGCGUACUCUCGAUCAAAUUCACGAGAUAUGCAUUCACUGCAAUAGAGAAAAUGAGAAGGGAUUAAGAGAUAGAGAGAUGGAGAGAUCAAGAUGGGUGUAGAAGGGGACAUGGAGUUCAAGAGAAUUAUUUAAAGGUCAAUUUUGUCUUUCAAUAAUGAAUUAAUGCAAAAAGUCCCCAAAUUGGAGGGAGGACCAUUUUAUAAAUGGACUAAUAAUUUAGGGAUGGAUGAAUUACUUAUUAAACAUGGAGGGAUUUAUAUGUUAAUUAACCCAUAAUUUAGGGACAUGUUUAUGUUUUUUUCCUAUUUAUUGAUUAAGAAAUUCUU
rnacentral:lncRNA from 1 species